rnacentral:rRNA from 1 species
AAGCGUGCGCAGGCGGUUAUGUAAGACAGAUGUGAAAUCCCCGGGCUCUAACCUGGGAACUGCAUUUGUGACUGCAUGGCUAGAGUACGGUAGAGGGGGAUGGAAUUCCGCGUGUAGCAGUGAAAUGCGUAGAUAUGCGGAGGAACACCGAUGGCGAAGGCAAUCCCCUGGACCUGUACUGACGCUCAUGCACGAAAGCGUGGGGAGCAAACAGGAUUAGAUACCCUAGU